UGGGAGCUCAUAGCCAAAAGAAACACCACUAGCAAAUAUAAUUAGCACACUCUCUUAUUACACUCUAGCUUCUCUAGGCCUAUCUCAACUCCUUUUGUCCCUACACUCAUCAUCAAGCAUCCACACAUUCAAAUCAACCAACUCUCACAUUCAUUAAGCACAAAACAUCAGGUGAAUUCUUGCAAAUGGUCCGUUGGUCCAAGUCAUUUGGUUGGGUAAGGGAAGGCUUUUAUUCAAGUGAUUCCAGAGGUUCAAAACAUAUGAUCUUUAAGGUGGUUUACUCUCAAAACAAGUAGCCUUGACAUUGCACAUAAUAUAUCUAAGAAAGGGACCAACUCAUGCAUACAAUGCUCAAUCUCCAUUGUUUUACCCUUUUCCCAAACAUACAAUUACACAAUCAUUCCCAAAUGUCAAACCCAACUCACAUCUCUCACCAAAAGAUCCUAAGAACUUUAACUCUUUCUUUUUGAAAUCUACAAGGGAUUUUUCUACAACCUCAAAACAUUUCUUAGCUCCUAACAACUUUGCUAGCCCCCUUUUCUUUCUUUUCUCUUUUUUUUUUUCGAUUUCCUUUUUUUUUUUUAUUUUUUUUUUUUUUAGGUUGGGGGCCAAGACUUUUCAAAACUAGAGCUAGAGGUUCUCUACUUAUCCCAGAAAAUCAAUUCACUUAAGCACAAAGAGUCUAUCCUUUUUAUUUUUUCAUUUCUCCCAAAUCAUGAUCACAACACUCACCCUCCCACCUAUAGCUAGACAAAAGAGUGUCCAAUCUAGCAAAAAUGAAGAUCAAGCAUUGUCGUUCCCGAUACUCUCAACAUUAUGCGCAUGUAAGACUUUCCGAAGAAGGCCUCACUCAUCAAACAAUGAAAGCUUAAAAGGAAGGAAAGGUUUUGGGAGUGGUCUACCACUAGAGUUUGUCAAAAAGAUUGGCAUAAAAGAUGUGACAACUCCAGUGUGUAUAGCCAUGACUCAGUACACAAGGGACCCUAAGCAAGAAGCAUUAAGUUCAUUCAUUUCUAAUAAGGUUGUAGUUGGCUUCAAAGACUGAGUUUCAGCAAUCAACAAGUUUCAAGAAGAGUUUUCAAGGCUCGAAACAUACAAGUCUUUUCGAGAGGUGCAUGGCUACUCAAUGGUGCAACGUAGUGUUCUUUACAAGGCAUUUAAAAUCAUUGCUCCCAAUGCAAGUGAAUGCAACCUAUAUGCUCUAGACUCUCCUAAUGGUGCAAAUGAUGCAAACUAAAUGAAAAAUCUUUUUUUUUUUAUGCAAAUAGGUGUGCAAUGCAUGACUCAAAUGAAACACAAUCAAAGCAAACAUGAUCAAAUGCUUGGUACCUCCCCCAAACUUGAGUUACACAGUCUCUGUGUUGUCAAAGAAAGAAGGAGAUACCGAGAAGAAAACUAAUAUGCAAAAAAUGAAAUGGUAUAUACAAGGGAGAGAAAGAAGUACCUCCUAUGGAUAAUAGGUGGGGGCAGAUGCCCCAGCAUCGUCGUCGUCAGGAGGGAAGGUGGUGUAGUAACCACCGGAUGCUGAACCGGAGCCUCCAUACCAUGGCUGGCUCUCAACCUCGUCAAUCUCGUGCUCACUGUCAGAAGAAGCGAGGGAUGGGGAUUUGUUGCCGGAAGUGGAAGG
rnacentral:lncRNA from 1 species